CACCGUCUUCACGGAAAAAUCCAGAAGCGCUCUCCACCGCUUCUCCCGAGGCCUCCCGGAGCCCUCUCCACAAUCGCACAACAAUUUGAUUUGAUCGUUUUAUUUUUGUCGUCCCGGGGAUGCCGCCCCGUCUCCAUUGGCCCUCCCAUGCCAAUCCCCCGCCAUCAAUUACCUCGUUUUGUUGGUGGCCAAUACAGCAGCGAUGAACGCGUGCGAGGAGAACGUCAGCAGGAGAUGGAGAUGGAGGAGGAGGAAGAGAAGAGGAGAGCCUCGUGCAGGAGAUGGAGAUGGAGGAGGAGGGGGAGAGGAUGGUAUGAAGGAGGUCAAGAGGACGGCGACGCCGAGGGGGGCGGGCAACAUAAGCACCAGGUGCGCAGCGAAACGGGAGGCCGUCCCGCUGAACGCUGACAGCCCGACCGCUGCGGCGGGCAGACCGCUGGACCCACACGGGGCGCCGCCUCUCUCCCUAGGGGAGGUCACCGGCGUCACGGGCGCCUGGUGCUAGGAUGGGGAGACGCGCCGCUGCGCGACAUCUCUUGACGCGACCACCGCCGCCCCUCAUGGUGUUGCGUGUGGGACGACCGAGCCGCAAGACCGCCGACCCACUACGCCCCUGUCCGCCGCGCGGGCCUGCUGCGCGGGCCGAGGUGCUGCUGCGUGCGGAUAGGUCCGCACCGUCCUGCUGUCGUCGUGCGCUCUCCGGCCGCCCCGCCGUGAUGACGCCUUCAUCCUGUGUGAUGCCUGCAGAUUGGUCUAUGAGCUCUGCUGUUGCGCAUCAAGAUCGGCAGUUGGGAUACAACGGCAGGCUGCCGUCAACUACGGUCUGCAGAAGGAUGUGUUGUCUCCUCUAGAUUACCGUACUUUACAAGAGACCUGUGAAAAUUGGAGGAUGAAUUGGACCUUCUUUUCA